rnacentral:lncRNA from 1 species
UUUUUUUGGUGAGCAUUUCCCCACCUUUAUUCGUAGUAAAAUACUCCGUCAAAUGAGGUAGCCAGUUACUAGAGAGCAUGCAGGACAAACGUAUGUAGGUCACGUACGACAAACAGUGUGCUGUUCACGUAGGACAAAUAAUACCACCAUGCGUGGAAGUAUACCCCCCCUCGUCCGUACACCCAACCGUUUUCUUCAGUUCAAAUUCAAACAGUAGUCAAACAAGUGGAAAACGUACAGUAAACACAUAGAUCCCCAAACAAACAAAUCGAGAGAGGCUGGAAAAUAUGAUUUAAAAUAGCAAAUAUGGAUAACUGGGUUGACAAAAAAGUAAAAGUACGGGAAAUGAUAGCAAGAUGAGGAAAAAAGAUAUCCACAUGCACUUUGCAAAACUGUAUUUACACACCGUGCGUGGAUGACCCUUAAUUCCAUAUAAACAUUCUAAUCAAUAACAGAAUGUACACUAGCAUAUAUUUUCUCAAAAAAUACACUAGCAUAUAUGUUGCCUCCAAGUUUUCCACUUAAGCCCUUUUUUGAAGUAAUAUUCAUUUUUGAGAUGAGUAACACGCGUUUAGGUCCAAAUACCAUUUAUUUUUGACCGAUUCUAACGUUCUCCACACAUUUCGGAAUAUGGUACACUACUCUGCCCCUCUUCCUUCCUCCUCCUCCUCCUUCUUCUUCUUCUUCUUCUUCUUCUUCUUCUUCUUCUUCUUCUUCUUCUUCUUCUUCUUCUUCUUCUUCUUCUUCUUAUUUUUAUUCAAUUUGGGAGCUCUACUACCAAGAUUACUAAAAUCUAAAAAAGAUCCACAUUUAAGUUCACAAAACCAUGCAUGUUUUCGCUUAAUCAAUUAAUUUAUAAUCUCAAUAAACGUUCUCUUGGUUUCUCCUAUCCCCUUUUUUACUAAUCAUUUGGAUCAAUGCCGGGCCAUACGGCACCUAGAGCCAUGUAAUUAAAGUCGUCUGAAUGUCUGGUUUUGUGGUAGUGAGCAAGUAGUAGAGCCUUCACCACGAGUGGCAACACUACAAGUUACCUAUCUUGGGAUGCAUGUACUGUAACCAAAUCUUUUUUACUUGUCCUUGACAUGGGAAUGCACAAACCAAUUAAGGCGCACAUGAGGACUACAGUGGCCGGGCUGAACUUGGCCGCCUCCGCCUGUUCUCCAGCUUGAUUCCGGACGGUUAAAGAAGUGCCACGGAAUGAAGCACGAUCUCGAUUAUUUUGACUGCAUUCAGAGAGGUAGCGUCGUCGGAAGAUGAGCUCUCGACAGCAACUAAACAACUCG